rnacentral:tRNA from 1 species
AGGUUUAUAGUUUAUGAGAAGAAUAUUUAAUUUGCGGUUAACAGGAGCUUUUGCUAAGCCUA